UACUUCGAGCUACAUCAACUUCACCUUUCCUCUUUCUGCGGUACUCAUUAGAUAUAUCCUCAACUAAAAUCUUGGCUGCUGAAACCCCAAGAGAAACAAUGCUCUGCAUGGUCUCAAUAUUUCCACUAUCAAAUGUGUCAUGAUAUGCGAGAAGCCUUUUCUCUGCCCAACCCAAUAUAGAACUUAAUGUAGAACUCAAAACCUUGGCGUAUUGUGGAUCCUUUGUUGUCUUUGCAUCUUUUGCAACUUCAGCCAGCUGACCAUCAGCAGCAUCAAGUAGAUCUGUUUCCACUUGGCCAGUUGCAACAAAGCGGUGAAAUAAGACCCAUGUAAAGCAGAGGUUGUGGAGCAUUUGAUUCAUUCCAAGGAUAGUCCAAGUCUUCUUUAUGUGUUCCAUAAGCUCAUCAACUUCCUCUAUUAUAGAUGUUUCAUCAUUAACAUCAAAGCAGGCUUCUAAAAGCAUUUCAUAGAGGCGGAGAUUCAAUGGAAUCCCAUCAGCCCAGUGGCAUAUCUCAGAAAAAGAUCCAUCAGAUCUAUUGGCAAGAGAUGUAACAGCACUACGAAGAACUUGCAUUGAC
rnacentral:misc_RNA from 1 species